rnacentral:pre_miRNA from 1 species
UCGACCCACUGUGCGUCGGUCUGUCGAGUAAUAUCACCCGCUCGGUGGAAGAUCUUCCCUUUGUCGU